GAGCAAGGGUUGAGUGAGUGGAACGUGCCAUCAACGGAUGGAGAUGGUGUGGGGUAGAAGAAAAGUGUAACCUGAAGACUUUUUCUUUAUAUUCUAUCUCAUAGCUGCCUGCAGAGGAAGAAACCAUUGGAAUACGGCCAAGAUUCUGGAGGCUUCAUGGGGACCAGAUUCAGACAGUGUAGAGCUCUGGCAAGGCGGACGUGCCCUCACACAGCACAAAUCCAUCCAGGCAUAUCUAAACUCUCUUAAAGUAUUUGGGGGGUUGAUGGUGGUGAACUGCUAGCUAACUCGUGGCAAAAUGCCUGGCAAGAAAGAUCCCAAGAAGGACGACAAAAAAAAGGGCGGCAAACCUGAACCCGAGAAAAAGAAAGAGGAAGAAAAGAAAGGGAAGGAUGACAAGAAAGGCGGUAAGGAGGACAAGAAAGCAGGGAAGGAUGACAAGAAAGGAGUGAAAGAUGACAAAAAGGGAGGGAAAGAUGAUAAGAAAGCAGGGAAGGAUGACAAGAAAGGGAAGGAUGAUCGUAAAGGAAAAGAUGAU